GUACUUGCUUCGGCAGCACAUAUACUAAAAUUGGAGUGACACAGAGAUUAAAAUGGCCCUUGAGCAAGGAUGACACGCAAAUUUGUGAAGCAUUCCAUAUUUAA
rnacentral:snRNA from 1 species